GACGAACGCUGGCGGCGUGCUUAACACAUGCAAGUCGAACGGAAAGGCCCUGCUUUUGUGGGGUGCUCGAGUGGCGAACGGGUGAGUAACCCGUGAGUAACCUGCCCUUGACUUUGGGAUAACUUCAGGAAACUGGGGCUAAUACCGGAUAGGAGCUCCUGCUGCAUGGUGGGGGUUGGAAAGUUUCGGCGGUUGGGGAUGGACUCGCGGCUUAUCAGCUUGUUGGUGGGGUGGUGGCUUACCAAGGCGUUGACGGGUGGCCGGCCUGAGAGGGUGACCGGCCACAUUGGGACUGAGAGACGGCCCAGACUCCUACGGGAGGCAGCGGUGGGGAAUAUUGCACAAUGGGCGGGAGCCUGAUGCAGCAACGCCGCGUGCGGGAUGACGGCCUUCGGGUUGUAAACCGCUUUCGCCUGUGACGAAGCGUGAGUGACGGUAAUGGGUAAAGAAGCACCGGCUAACUACGUG
rnacentral:rRNA from 1 species